rnacentral:rRNA from 1 species
UACAGGGAGUGGCAAACGGCUGAGUAACGCGUAGGAACCUACCCCAAACUCGAGUAUAGCCCCGCGAAAGCGGGGGUAAUCCUCGAUAGCCCGUGAAGUAUUUUACUUCACGGUAAAGCUUUUGCGGUUUGGGAUGGGCCUGCGUCCUAUCAGGUAGUUGGUGAGGUAAAUGCUCACCAAGCCUAUGACGGGUAGCUGGUCUGAGAGGAUGGUCAGCCAGACUGGGACUGCGACACGGCCCAGACUCCUACGGGAGGCAGCAACAAGGAAUUGUGCGCAAUGGACGAAAGUCUGACGCCGCGACAUCGCGUGGAGGAUGAAGGUCUUCGGAUUGUAAACUCCUUUUCUUACCGAACAAGUUCUGAGUGUAGGUAAGGAAUAAGUGCCUGCUAACCACGUGCCAGAAGCAUCGGUAAUACGUGGGGCACGAGCGUUAUCCGGAUUUACUGGGCGUAAAGAGAAGCGUAGGCGGCUCAAUAAGUAUGGUGUUAAAUCUUCCGGCUCAACCGGACACCAGCACCGAAAACUAUCGAGAUUGAGUCGAGUAGGGAAGAGGGGAAUUCCUGGUGGAGCGGUUAACUGCGUAGAUAUCAGGAGGAAUACCAAGGGCGAAGGCACCUCUUUUGGACUCGUACUGACGCUGAGGCUCGAAAGCGUGGGUAGCAAACAGGAUUAGAUACCCUGGUAGUCCACGCAGUAAACGGUGAACACUAGGUGUAGCGGGUACUGACCCCUGCUGUGCCGGAGUUAACGCAUUAAGUGUUCCGCCUGGGGAGUACGGCCGCAAGGUUAAAACUCAAAGGAAUUGACGGGGGCCCGCACAAGCGGUGGAGCAUGUGGUUUAAUUCGACGCAACGCGAAGAACCUUACCUGGGUUUGACAUCCCGGGAAUCCGUAUGAAAGUAUGGAGUGCCCUUCGGGGAGCCCGGAGACAGGUGCUGCAUGGCUGUCGUCAGCUCGUGUCGUGAGAUGUUGGGUUAAGUCCCGCAACGAGCGCAACCCUUGUCUUCAGUUGCCAGCGAUUCGGUCGGGGACUCUGGAGAUACUGCCCCGGUUAACGGGGAGGAAGGUGGGGAUGACGUCAAGUCCUCAUGGCCUUUAUGCCCAGGGCUACACACGUGCUACAAUGGUCUGUACAAAGGGUGGCGAGCCUGCGAAGGCAAGCCAAUCCCAAAAAGCAGGCCUCAGUUCGGAUUGGAGUCUGCAACUCGACUCCAUGAAGUUGGAAUCGCUAGUAAUCGCGGAUCAGCAUGCCGUGGUGAAUACGUUCCCGGGCAUUGUACACACCGCCCGUCACACCAUGAGAGUUGGCUGUACCCGAAGUCGCGGGGCCAACCGUAAGGAGGCAGGCGCCGAAGGUAUGGCUGAUG